CCAAUAGCGUAUAUUAAAGUUGUUGCAGUUAAAAAGCUCGUAGUUGAAUUUCGGGAUCAAUAUGUCGGUCGUGCUUUUUGGUACGUACUGGCGUCAUUGGUUUCUCCUUUCUGACGAGCCAUGAUGUCAUUAAUUUGGUGUUAUGGGGAGUUAGGACUGUUACUUUGAAAAAAUUAGAGUGUUUAAAGCAGGCAUUAGCUUGAAUACAUUAGCAUGGAAUAAUGAAAUAGGACGUUCGAUCCUAUUUUGUUGGUUUCUAGGAUCAACGUAAUGAUUAAUAGGGAUAGUUGGGGGCAUUAGUAUUCAAUUGUCAGAGGUGAAAUUCUUGGAUUUAUUGAAGACUAACUACUGCGAAAGCAUUUGCCAAGGAUGUUUUCAUUAAUCAAGAACGAAAGUUAGGGGAUCGAAGACGAUCAGAUACCGUCGUAGUCUUAACCAUAAACUAUGCCGACUAGGGAUCGGAUGAUGUUAAUUUUUUAAUGACUCAUUCGGCGCCUUACG
rnacentral:rRNA from 1 species